rnacentral:lncRNA from 1 species
GUGUUUAUGUCUGAUCCUUCGUCCUCAAUACUAUUCCCAACUAGACAGAACUAGUUUCAAUGAACAAAGAUAGAACGCGAUGAGACGAUGACGAUGGUAGGGCACUGUCAGGGAGAUAGAUUCACGGACCAACACGUGCUCUCUUCAGCUGCGUUAUACAAAAAAAAACUAUUAGUUCGAGAAAAAACGGAAGAAAUAAAAAAAGGAGAGUUAUUUGCAAAUAUACUCUCUUGUUUCACGAAAAGAAUAUUGAUGCCAAGUUAAUCGGAAAAUAAAAGAAGAAAAGAAUCGUUUAGGUUUGAGUCGUUUGAAUCUAUUUUCUUAAAACAAACUACUAAAUUACAUGUUUG